GACGAACGCUGGCGGCGUGCUUAACACAUGCAAGUCGAACGGAAAGGCCCUGCUUUUGUGGGGUGCUCGAGUGGCGAACGGGUGAGUAACACGUGAGUAACCUGCCCUUGACUUUGGGAUAACUUCAGGAAACUGGGGCUAAUACCGGAUAGGAGCUCCUGCUUCAUGGUGGGGGUUGGAACGUUUCGGCGGUUGGGGAUGGACUCGCGGCUUAUCAGCUUGUUGGUGGGGUAGUGGCUUACCAAGGCUUUGACGGGUAGCCGGCCUGAGAGGGUGACCGGCCACAUUGGGACUGAGAUACGGCCCAGACUCCUACGGGAGGCAGCAGUGGGGAAUAUUGCACAAUGGGCGGAAGCCUGCUGCAGCAACGCCGCGUGCGGGAUGACGGCCUUCGGGUGGUAAACCGCUUUCGCCUGUGACGAAGCGUGAGUGACGGUAAUGGGGAAAGAAGCACCGGCGAACUACGU
rnacentral:rRNA from 1 species